rnacentral:misc_RNA from 1 species
UCUCCGUUGGUGAACCAGCGGAGGGAUCAUUACAGGACUCACAAGUCUCGUACACCCCUGUGAACUCAACUAUAACCACCUUGCUUCGGAGGGUGUCUCAGAGGGGCGUGGCCCGCCCCGAGACGCUAAACCCGCCGGCAGCCUACUAUACUCUGUCUCUUUGCGUUGGCAUCUCGAGAUCAAUCAAACAAGUUAAAACCUUCAACAACGGAUCUCUUGGUUCUG